AUUGAACGCUGGCGGCAGGCCUAACACAUGCAAGUCGAGCGGAUGAAGGGGGCUUGCUCCUGGAUGCAGCGGCGGACGGGUGAGUAAUGCCUAGGAAUCUGCCUUGUAGUGGGGGAUAACGUCCGGAAACGGGCGCUAAUACCGCAUACGUCAUGAUAGAGAAAGGGGGGGAUCUUCGGACCUCACGCUAUCAGAUGAGCCUAGGUCGGAUUAGCCAGUUGGUGGGGUAAAGGGCUAACAAAGCGACGAUCCGUGACUAGUCUGAGAGGAUGAUCAGUCAACCUGGAAACGGGACAAGGUCCAGACCCCUAAGGGAGGCAGCAGUGGGGAAUAUUGGCCCAUGGGCGAAAGCCUGAGCGAGCCAUGCCGCGUGUGUGAAGAAGGGCCUCGGAUUGUAAAGAAUCUUAAGUUGGGAGGAAGGGCAGUAAGUUAAUACCUUGCUGUUUUUGACGUUACCAACAGAAUAAGCCACGGCUAACUUCGUG
rnacentral:rRNA from 1 species